GGGAUUGCCCCAGUAACGGCGAGUGAAGCGGCAACAGCUCAAAUUUGAAAUCUGGCCCCUAGGGUCCGAGUUGUAAUUUGCAGAGGAUGCUUUUGGCGAGGUGCCUUCCGAGUUCCCUGGAACGGGACGCCAUAGAGGGUGAGAGCCCCGUCUGGUCGGACACCGAGCCUCUGUAAAGCUCCUUCGACGAGUCGAGUAGUUUGGGAAUGCUGCUCUAAAUGGGAGGUAUAUGUCUUCUAAAGCUAAAUAUAGGCCAGAGACCGAUAGCGCACAAGUAGAGUGAUCGAAAGAUGAAAAGCACUUUGAAAAGAGGGUUAAAAAGUACGUGAAAUUGUUGAAAGGGAAGCGCCUAUGACCAGACUUGGGCCCGGUGAAUCAUCCAGCGUUCUCGCUGGUGCACUUUGCCGGGCACAGGCCAGCAUCAGUUUGGCUCGGGGGAAAAAGGCUUUGGGAACGUAGCUCCUCGGAGUGUUAUAGCCCUUUGCAUAAUACCCUGGGCCGGACUGAGGACCGCGCAUCUGCAAGGAUGCUGGCGUAAUGGUCAUCAGCGACCCGUCUUGAAACACGGACCAAGGAGUCGUCUUCGUAUGCGAGUGUUCGGGUGUAAAACCCCUACGCGUAAUGAAAGUGAACGCAGGUGAGAGCUUCGGCGCAUCAUCGACCGAUCCUGAUGUUCUCGGAUGGAUUUGAGUAAGAGCAUACGGGGCCGGACCCGAAAGAAGGUGAACUAUGCCUGUAUAGGGUGAAGCCAGAGGAAACUCUGGUGGAGGCUCGCAGCGGUUCUGACGUGCGAAUCGAUCGUCAAAUAUGGGCAUGGGGGCGAAAGACUAAUCGAACCUUCUAGUAGCUGGUUUCCGCG
rnacentral:rRNA from 1 species